ACCUGGCACAUCAGCAGGCGGGGGGGGGGGGGGGGCGGGCGGGGGCUGAGCCCUGUGUUCCACAAGGCCUGCCCGCAGGUCGCACUGCCCGCUACCCAGGAUGGGAUGCAGGAGCCUGGCCGUGGGUCACUGUGGGUGCCCCAGCCAGUCACCUUAGCCCCCUGAGCACCAGAUUCCCCAGCGAAAUGGACAAGCAUAAUCAUCAUCGCUUCCACUUACAGAUCACUCAUUAAGUGCCAGGCACUUUAUCCUCCUCAUCUCUCAUGUUCCUCCCAAAGCUCUACAGAGGAGGGCCUACUGAUAUCCCCGGGGUACAGAGGGGAAACUGAGGCACAGCGAAAGGAAAGUGACCGAGGCCCAAGGUCACACUAGUAACAACGUCUACUGUUUUGUCACCUUCCUCCUUCACGUGUUGAGCUGAGCUCCUACCAUACCACUCACGCUGUCCCACUUCAGAGUGGGCCGGUCCCCGAGGCUGCGGUAGAUGACGGCGUCGAUGGCUAGGAAGUCGGUAACGGUGGCUGUGAAGAGCAUCCCUUCUGGAUGGGGGUGAGUCAGGGGGAGGCAGGUGAGAGAUUAGAUCAUAGAGGCCGGAGGCUGGGUGGGUCAAAGCUUGACUUCAAGACUGAGCCCUGAGCCUAAGUGAGCCCUAAGCCCCAGGCUGAUCCCCAACUCCUCAGCUCAUCCCCAACCUCGGCUGAGCCCUGCCCUUGAGAUUCUGCCUGUUUCAUAGCUGGAGAGAUGGUCUCCCAGCCAUCUUCUAAAUGACCUGACCCCAAGAGUGGAAAAUGCCAUGUCUUGCUGUGGACUGGGGCCCCAUCAGAUGGUCAGAGUUGGGGGCACUCACC